AACGAACGCUGGCGGCAUGCCUAACACAUGCAAGUCGAACGAGACCUUCGGGUCUAGUUGCGCACGGGUGCGUAACGCGUGGGAACCUGCCCUUAGGUUCGGAAUAACUCCCCGAAAGGGGUGCUAAUACCGGAUAAUGUCUUCGGACCAAAGAUUUAUCGCCUUUGGAUGGGCCCGCGUUGGAUUAGCUAGUUGGUAGGGUAAAAGCCUACCAAGGCGACGAUCCAUAGCUGGUCUGAGAGGAUGAUCAGCCACACUGGGACUGAGACACGGCCCAGACUCCUACGGGAGGCAGCAGUGGGGAAUAUUGGACAAUGGGCGAAAGCCUGAUCAAGCAAUGCCGCGUGAGUGAUGAAGGCCUUAGGGUUGUAAAGCUCUUUUACACGGGAUGAUAAUGACAGUACCGGGAGAAUAAGCUCCGGCUAACUCCGUG
rnacentral:rRNA from 1 species